GGCUGCUGUGCAUGAAUGUAUGACAAGAACGUCAGCCAGGGAGGAGCCUAAUCAGCCAGUUCCGACAAACACUGUGGACAGGGGGCAUAAGCUUGGCAUAUUUGACACCUAGCAUUUCUCCUAUAUCGUGAGAACUCCGGGUUCCA
rnacentral:lncRNA from 1 species